AAAAUCUACUCAAGAUUCACAAAUCCGUACUAAAUCUUAACAAAUCUCUACAAGAGAUUGUGUCUCAAAAGAUGAAACCACAAAAUCUUGUAAGAUCUCUACAAGAUUCAACCAGAUCUCUAUAAAGCCCUCAAGCAGAACACACAUACCUGCACUUCACCUUCUCACAAACACCUCCCUAUCACCUCCUUCCAUCUCUCUCGAAAUCUACUGCCAACACAACAUCCACAACUCACAGCCCGAUAACCCCCUUCCGUCCCUCUGAUUAAUGACCGGCGACCAGAUUAAAUCCUACCGGCGUUGGCGGUUCGUGCUCUGACAGACUCACACACCUCACACACCUACCUCCUCCCUUCUUUCGAUCUGGGUAUCGGCCGACCAUCACCACCGUCACGGUGGUGGUGUGAUGACGGAACGAAGAGAGAGAGAGGCCGAUGAGAGAGAGAGUCGGAGAAGGGGCAGCGCCGCCACUCAUGGCUGCGGCAGUGGCGUUCGGCGACGAUGAUGCAGAAACAGGGAGACAGAAACAUACAGGAGGGAGAGAGGAAGGAGUCGGAAGUGGAGCGUCGCCACCGUGGCGGUGACGGUUUUCGUUCCCGGUUCAGGUUUCGGUUUCGGUUUGGUUCGGGGCUCAGUUCGGUUCGGUCAGCAGAUUUGGGUUAUGUUCAGCUUCGGGUCAGAUCUGGCCUAUGGCUUGGGUCAAGUGCGGGUCUUGGUUUACUCGGUUCAGAUUUCCAGUUCGAGUUAUGUUUCAGUUUUAGUCACAGGUUCGGGUUACGGUCCAACGGAUUCGGGUUACAAAACAACUCAGUCGGUUAACUGAGUCAACUCAGCUCGUGUUUGGUCACGUUGAGUCAACAUAGCGGUCGUUUGGUCAACACGGGUCAAACCCGGUCAACACAGUCAAGACGCAGUUAACUCAAAGACCCGGUAAAGAUUUAAACACGCGAAAGUUUUGUUUAUAUUGUUAAGACAUUUUAUAGUUACGCGAACCGAGCUCGAACCAUCGUUUAUACGUUUAGUGAUUUAUUUAUGCUUUGACAUUUUGACGAACUAUAUAUUGUUGAUUACAUAACGUUGAAUUAUUAUUGAAUUUGGUUGAAUUUUGAUAAAAA